UAUCCACAACAGGUAAAACGUGCUCAGUGUGUGACGUCCUGCAGGGCACGUUACAGUAGAGCACCUGGGCUACACGUGUGCUAUUCAUUCCCCACUGGAGCAGCGAUAUGAAGACCAGCUUUCAAGAUUUAAACUGGAGAAAGAGGCUCCAGAUGAUGCCUUGGAUUUAGCCGGCCCACAUGAGUGAUAUGAAUAACACACUGGAUGGAAUACACACUUCUGGAAGCCUCGAGGAGAAAGCAGAGAUUUAUCAGAGUGGCAAGGGUAAUGUGAGUGGUUUUCCCAGCCCAACCCUUAUCCCUUUGCGAGCUCCUUUACCAACACCAAAUGCUCAGAAGAUCAGGACUACGCUCUGCAAGGGGAACAGGAGCAAUGAAAAGGGAGAAGAUUCAAUCUCUUCCCCUGUUCCAAACCCUUUCCCUGAGCUCAUCGCCUCAACCCUCACCCCCCUCCUCUAUGAAUGUUUAUUACCAUCGACCAAAAGUAGUGCAACUCAGGUAAUCAAAGUUUAUAAUGAAGACAACACCAGCAGAGCAGUCGAGGUUCCCAGUGACAUCACUGCCCGGGACAUAUGCCAGCUGUUCGUCCUGAAGAACCACUGCAUUGAUGACCACAGCUGGACUCUUUUUGAACACAUCUCUCAUCUGGGAAUAGAGAGAACCAUUGAAGACCAUGAGUCUGUUAUGGAGGUGCUAUCCGGCUGGGGAAUGGACACAGACUGCCGGCUGUAUUUUAGGAAGAAUUAUGCUAAAUACGAGUUCUUCAGGAAACCCCUGGACUUUUUCCCGGAUCACAUGGUCUCCAUAUCCAGUGAAACCAAUGGCAUGGUGGAUCACUCUCAGCUUAUACAGACCUUUCUCAACUCCAGCACAUGUCCAGAGAUACAUGGACACCUCCAUGCCAAAGAGCAAAGCAGGAAAUCUUGGAAGAAGUUCUAUUUUGUCCUGCGUAGGUCGGGCCUUUAUUUCUCCAAUAAGGGAACUUCCAAGGAACCGAGGCAUCUCCAAUUCAUUGCCGACUUCAGUGACAGUGAUGUCUACACAGUGUUGUCAGCCAAAAAACAACAUGGAGCACCUACAGAUUACGGCUUCUGUGUCAAGUCUACAAAGGGUAGUUCGGGCCGGGACUUGAAGCUGCUCUGUGCGGAUGAUGAGCAGACCAGGACCUGCUGGAUCACAGCCAUGCGCUUGUUAAAGUAUGGGAUGGAGCUGUACCAGAACUUUAUCCAGCCACACCAGAAACAAAAAGCUUCACCAAUGAGGAGCAUCUCAGAGAAUUCACUGGUGGCCAUGGACUUUUCUGGCCAAAAGAGCCGUGUGAUCGAGAACCCGUCCGAGGCGAUGUCUGUGGCGGUGGAGGAAGGCCUGUCAUGGAGGAGGAAGAGCUGCCACCGUCUGAGCGGCCAUGGGAGCCCCUCCACAUCACACAGCUCUUUGUUAAACAUGGGUCUCUCUCCACUUGGGUCAGCCCUGGUUCCACGGCAAACUGUGGAGGGAGGAGGCUCAGCGUAUAAUCACUCAGCAGGGUCUUAUCGAUGGAAUGUUUCUUCUGAGGGACAGCCAAAGCAACCCUAAGACUUUUGUACUGUCGCUGUGCCACAUGCAGAAAAUCAAACACUUUCAGAUCAUACCCGUGGACGAUGAUGGGGAGUUAUUCUACAGUCUGGAUGACGAUCAAACACGCUUCACCGACUUGAUCCAGUUGGUGGAAUUUUACCAGCUAAACAGAGGGGUGUUGCCCUGCAAGCUCAAACACCACUGUGCCCGUAUCGCCCUGUGAACAAGGGACCCACGAGACCCCCGAGGGCCCAGAUGCACCUUAACUCCAGGGCCUUUCCAGACAAACACUCCCAGUGUUCUUGUGCCUUGAAGAAGAAAGACAUACAGCCAUGCUAACUGAAACCACUGUUAUAAUCCACUAUCAUUGACAUCCAUAGUCUGCUACAUGGGCCCUCCUUCUUUGCUUUGAAAGCUGAAUUUAAGAACAGACCAUGAUAACUGACCACAUGUGCUGGUGAUUUGCAUCUUCUACCGUGAAGUCUUUGCCCCAUAAUGUGCUAAUGGUUGGUGGUAAAUCCAUGGUCCAAACAUGACUUCCUAUACUCUGCAUUGUAGAGCAUGUGAUACAUUUUUAUUUGAAAUUAUAUCAUGCAAGAAAUUGUCAUACACAACACCGCUGUCCUCUUUAAUUUGAGCAAACCAAGCUAUCUUUCUUUUCUUUGUCAUUGUAUUUUUAAGUAUUCAGGUAUUUUUUUUGUAAAAUAAAUUGCUGUUGUUUUCUAUAUGAGGGCUAAAAUGACCUCUCAGGAAGUGCCCCUGUGCAUGCCCUGUGAGUGGGAUCGAUACUGCUGUAGAGGGGAGAGGAGACGUGAUGUACAGGUGGAGAGACAUGGCACACAACCUCACUGCACUGUACAUUCAUUUGAAAUGUUUAUGAUUAAAUGAAAUGUUUGUUUUACAUGACUUUAA